UGUCUGCUUGCCCAGAGCACGAGCUGUGAGGGGAUUCACUUGUGUGCGGAACUCCUCGGAACCAUGGCGUCCCUUUCCCUUGCACCUGUUAACAUCUUCAAGGCAGGAGCUGAUGAAGAGAGAGCAGAGACAGCUCGUCUGACUUCUUUUAUUGGUGCCAUCGCCAUUGGAGACUUGGUAAAGAGCACCUUGGGACCCAAAGGCAUGGACAAAAUUCUUCUAAGCAGUGGACGAGAUGCCUCUCUUAUGGUAACUAAUGAUGGUGCCACUAUUCUAAAAAACAUUGGUGUUGACAAUCCAGCAGCUAAAGUUUUAGUUGAUAUGUCAAGGGUUCAAGAUGAUGAAGUUGGUGAUGGCACUACUUCUGUUACUGUUUUAGCAGCAGAAUUAUUAAGGGAAGCAGAAUCUUUAAUUGCAAAAAAGAUUCAUCCACAGACCAUCAUAGCGGGUUGGAGAGAAGCCACUAAGGCUGCAAGAGAGGCGCUGUUGAGUUCUGCAGUUGAUCAUGGUUCCGAUGAAGUUAAAUUCCGUCAAGAUUUAAUGAAUAUUGCGGGCACAACAUUAUCCUCAAAACUUCUUACUCAUCACAAAGACCACUUCACAAAGUUAGCUGUAGAAGCAGUUCUCAGACUGAAAGGCUCUGGCAACCUGGAGGCAAUUCAUAUUAUCAAGAAGCUAGGAGGAAGUUUGGCAGAUUCCUAUUUAGAUGAAGGUAUGUAUGAAUGUCAGAUACAAGAAGCUUUGAUUAGAUGCUGAGGGCUGCAUACUGAGUGAAU
rnacentral:sRNA from 1 species